UACGAAGGGGGCUAGCGUUGCUCGGAAUCACUGGGCGUAAAGCGCACGUAGGCGGAUUCUUAAGUCAGGGGUGAAAUCCUGGAGCUCAACUCCAGAACUGCCUUUGAUACUGAGGGUCUUGAGUUUGGGAGAGGUGAGUGGAACUGCGAGUGUAGAGGUGAAAUCGUAGAUAUUCGCAAGAACACCAGUGGCGAAGGCGGCUAACUGGUCCAGAUCUGACGCUGAGGUGCGAAAGCGUGGGGAGCAAACAGG
rnacentral:rRNA from 1 species